GUCAAUUUAUAAUUGUAGAUACAUAUACUUACACUCAAAAUAGGACUUUGCAUAACCUCCCACAUCAAGAGCUAAAGACCUUUCUCUUUUUUUAGCCCAAAUUAUUUACUUUAUAUUUGCUUAAGAUGUUGAUAAUCUAUGCAAUUGAGUAUUUGUUGAACCCCACAAGUAUGUUGUGUUCAAAAAUGUAAGAAACUCCAUAGUAAUCAUUGCCUAUCAACUGUUUGCUAAAUUGUCUCAAAGAAGUUUUAAGCCAGGACAUUGACUUUCAUCAUCAGUCAUUUUCAUUUUUAACCCUUUUAUGCUGUGUGGACUGCAUAGAUGCAUUCAAGAUUUAGUUUUUAUGGGUUCCUACAACGACCUCAAGUUAAUACUAAGUUCACCCUUGAUGUAGAGCUUUGUUACUGAUUGAAUUCUUCGAUGUCGUUCGUGUUCUUGAGAAGACAACUAAUUAACUUGUCUUGUAUACUCAAUUCUCAGUGUAACUUAAGAAUAUGUUCAUAUUCCUCAAGACCCACAAGAGCUAAUCAAGCAAAUGAUUUUUUCGAGGAGGAUAGUAAACCACGUCCUGUUGCUGCAGAUUUUGGUGGUGGGGUUUUUCAUCUUUCGCCAUUGUAUAGGGAUGAGAAAUAUUCGUCGAAAGAUUGCAGGAUUGAACUAGUGGAUAAUGAGACUUGGAGUGUGUCCUCUGGCUUAGCUGAAGUGUGGAGAGGAAAUACAAAUGUUGCUUCGAAGAAAAAUUCUUCAUUUAGUCCAGAGGAAGAUGUUGAUGAUGCGGUGGCUAAUUAUAAUGAUGAAGAUCCUGAUUUUGACGAUAUUGAGGAUUUGAGGAUACGUGGUAACUUGUUUUACAAGCUUGAUAAAGAUUCCAAGGAAUAUGAAGAAUAUAAGUUCGAUUUCCAUAGAAGGAAUAAGAACAAGAACAAUGGAGAUGACUGUCCCAAAGAGAAGGAGAAAUCAAGUGACGUUUCAGCUUCUGGGAUCGAGAAAAGCCUAAAGGGUAUAUAUGAGAAGAAGCAAAGCAAGAAGGACAAACUGCUGUGUGACUCUGACUUUUCAGUGGACAGAGAUGAUACGAAUAACCUGCAGGAUUUUCAGCUAAAGAGGUCAAGAGUUCCAACUUUUAAUCAGCUUACUGCCCCUUAUCAUGAGCCGUUUUGUUUGGAUAUUUUUGUCUCGAAAGGUUCGGUCAGUGCUAGCAUCAUCCAUAGAGCUACUAGCAAGGUCGUUGCUGUGGCACAUUCUAUUUCCAAGGACAUGAAAUUUGACUUGGGAUCGACCAAGAAUAGAGCUACUUGUGCUGCUGUUGGGGAAGUUCUGGCUCAAAGAGCUUUGGCUGAUGAUAUUCAUAAUGUAAUUUAUACGCCAAGGACGCGGGAAAAAUUGGAGGGGAAACUUGAGAUUGUUCUUCAGUCCAUUAUUAACAAUGGCAUCAAUGUGAAGGUAAAGAUUAGGCAGAGGAAAACCAAGAAACAUGGCUUCCAACGCCCAACAGCUUAGGUGGCCAUCCUAUAUUACUAUUCAUCAAGGCAAGAAUGUUGUAAGUAUCAUCCUCAUGGCUUUCGAUGAAACUUGAUUUAGGAAAGUGAAUCAGGUCUUUUGCUGUAGAAAGUUGCUUAAUCGGCACACUGACGAGGAGUGGAAUCAUGCAAGAUUCAAUAGUCCAGUACUAGUAUUUUGACAAAUGCAGAUGCAAUUAAAAGUGACAAGUUUUAUCAAUCCUGACAAGCUUGCAAACAUAGUAGCAACUGGAACAAGGAAUCAAGCUAAGCUGCUGUGUGCUCAUACUUUGCUGAAGAAUGGGGUGUCCAAAAGAAAAUACUAGCUUAUGAGCAAAACAAUUUAUAGCAAUAAACCACACAUACUUUUGCAUUGAAUUCUUCAAAAAGUAGAACAUUUUUUGUAUCAGUUUUACAUCAGUCAAAAA